CCUACGGGGGGCAGCAGUGGGGAAUCUUCCGCAAUGGACGAAAGUCUGACGGAGCAACGCCGCGUGAGUGAUGACGGCCUUCGGGUUGUAAAGCUCUGUUAAUCGGGACGAAAGGCCUUCUUGCGAAUAGUGAGAAGGAUUGACGGUACCGGAAUAGAAAGCCACGGCUAACUACGUGCCAGCGGCCGCGGUAAUACGUAGGUGGCAAGCGUUGUCCGGAAUUAUUGGGCGUAAAGCGCGCGCAGGCGGAUCGGUCAGUCUGUCUUAAAAGUUCGGGGCUUAACCCCGUGAUGGGAUGGAAACUGCCAAUCUAGAGUAUCGGAGAGGAAAGUGGAAUUCCUAGUGUAGCGGUGAAAUGCGUAGAUAUUAGGAAGAACACCAGUGGCGAAGGCGACUUUCUGGACGAAAACUGACGCUGAGGCGCGAAAGCCAGGGGAGCGAACGGGAUUAGAUACCCUGGUAGUC
rnacentral:rRNA from 1 species